UAUAAGUAUAUAAAGAAACUAUUAUGGAAUUUAAGCUAUGUAUUAAAGAGAAUUAGUUAUGUAAAUAAGAUAAAAAUCUUAUAAAUAUAUAAACUCUAAGAGAAAUUCAAUACUAAACGAAGUGAAUUGAAAUAUCUUAGUAACUUCAGGAAAAGAAAUCAAAAGAGAUUCUAUGAAUAGCGUGAGCAAAAGUAGAGGAGCCUAAAAAGUAGAACGGUCUCAAAACUGUUUAAAUCUUGGGGAACCUUCCUCAAAGGCUAAAUAUAAUACAUAAGCGAUAGUGAAAAGUACCAUGAGGGAACAAAAAUAAAAAUAGUAGUUUUAUAAGCAGUUCGAUAAAAAGAACGUACCUUUUGCAUAAUGGGUCACCAAGUUAACAUUAGAUGCGAGCUGUAUUAGCAUGCGUAGUUAAACCGAAGGUUGAAAUAACGAAUAAGUGUCUAAAGUUAGACCCGAAGCCAGGUGAUUUUACCAUAGUCAGGAUUAUAAAAGUCCGAACGGGUGAUUGUAGCAAAAAUCUCCGAAGAACUGUGGUAGGUGUAGUGAAAGACAACACUGACUUGGAUAGCUGGUUUUCUGCGAAACCUAUAAUAGUAGGCAAUUUAAAUAAACAUCUUAGCAGGUACAGAAUUUAAUCUCAGACAAGGCGUUUUAUACGUUUUAUAUUGUACAAAUUGGGGGACCAUGAAGGUUUUAUCAGUGAGUAUGUAGACUCGGAAUGGUAAAGAUGUAUUUUGAAUGAUCAGACAUAGAAUGAUAAGGUUGUAUGUCGAAAGGGAGACAGCCCAGAACAAGAGUUAAGGUUCCUAAAUUAUUAGUUGAGUGAAAUUAAGAAGGUUUUUAUUAAAGUCGACAAGGAGAUAGGCUUAGAAGCAGCCAUAAUUUUAUGACCUGCUAGAUGAUGUAGGAAGUCAUCUAUGUGGGUGAAACUAUCAAACUCCGGGGACUCCCUAAAGAUUUUGAUACUAAACCAUAUAUGAAAAUAUAUGAGUGGCUGAAGUAAUUCCUCAGGUAUAGUAACAAGUCAAAAUAUGAAUGAAAAUGAAAUGGGAUAUCGCGGAUCUAAGUCAAAUAAUGGUAAAAGCUUAUUUGUAAAAGAGCAACGAGUAGACGGUAGUUGACACAGCAAUGUGUUUAAGGUGUACUCUAAUGGGUCUUGAAAGAGAUUAUCAAGUCAGAAUCCUUUCUUAGGGAAUACAAAAUUUGUAAGAUAUUGCAGCAAUUUAAGUACAAAUUAUCAAUUAUCUCCUUAUACAUUAACAGGACUUGUAGACGCAGAAGGAUGUUUUAGAAUUUCUAUAUUAAAGAAUAAAAAUUUUAAAGAUAAUAAUAUACCUUUUAAAACUAGACUUUAUUUCCAAUUGUCUUUGCAUAAAAGAGAUGAAAAUCUAUUAGAGUUACUUAAGAAAAACUUGAAAGUAGGAAAAAUUUAUAAAUCUCGUAUUGAGGCUUAUGAAUACCAAGUAUCUUCGAUAAAAGAUAUAGAAUUUAUAAUAAAGUUUUUUGAUAGAUACCCCUUAAUUACUCAAAAGUAUGGGGACUAUCAGCUUUUUAAAGAAGCAUAUGAAUUAAUUCGUAAUAAACAACAUUUAACUAAUGAUGGUUUAUUAAAAUUAAUAGCUUUAAAAGCAUCUAGUAACUGAGGUCUUAAUCUAACUUUAAAAGAAACAUUCCCUGAUAUUGUCCCUGUUAAUCGUGUACAACCAAAUAAUAAAAUACCUAACCCUGAAUGGUUACUAGGUUUUGUUAGCGGAGAAGGUAAUUUUAUGAUUAGACUAAUAAACUCUCCUGCUAAUAAAUUAGGGUAUCAAGUAGGAUUAAGGUUUCAGAUAACUCAACAUAGCAAAGAUAAGUUAUUAAUGGAAAACAUAAUAAACUAUUUACAAUGUGGUUAUUUAUCAGUACGAAAUGAUAUUCUAGAUUUUCAUGUUACUAAGUUUAGUGAUAUAGUAGAAAGAAUAAUACCUUUUUUCAACAAAUAUCCUUUAUUAGGAGUUAAACAAAGAGAUUUUGAAAACUUUAAAUCAGUAGCUUCUAUCAUUAGUGAUAAAAAGCAUUUAACUGAAGAAGGUAUAUCUAAAAUAAAGGAAAUAAAAUUAGCUAAAUAAAAUGACAAGCCAAUAUAGUUUAAACCCACAAAAAUUCAAUUUUGUAUUCCGAUGAUAAAUCUGAUUGCUGUGCGUAACAGAGCGCUUGUUAAGUUAUAAAAGCAUCGAAAAUAUAACGGAUCUAAACAAUAUACCGAAACCUUGUCCAUUAUACAUUAUAACAAUAGUAUUAUUAUAAUUCAAUGGGGUAGCAGAACGUUGAGUUAAAUUAUGAAUUUUAUUUUUUAAAUAGAAUGAUAACGAUUUAACUCAAGUGAGAAUGGUGACAUGAGUAACUAAAAGAAAAUUUUCCGCCUUAAGCUUAUGGAUAUAUUUAAGUAACGGCCUCUAAGUUUAUAAUAUCUAAAGAUUUAAACGAUGAGAAAAUCUUUUUUACUAAGGACGACAUUUUAGUAUAAAAUGUACUGGAAAAAUAGUAAAUAUAUUUAUAGUUAGUUUCUAUAAAUGAAGAAUAACCGUACCUAGACUCUGAAACAAGUAAGCUAGUAGAGAAUACGAAGGCGUAAAUGAGCUAACAAUCAUAAAGGAACUCGGCAAAUUGACUACCGUAACUUCGGAAUAAGGAGGGCUCAUUAUUCUUGAUUAAUAUCAAGUAAAGAGGAAGAAGCAUGAAAUAAUGUUGUACGACUGUUUAAUUAAAACACAGCACUCUGCUGAAAGAUCAAAAAUCUAAGUAUAGAGUGUGAUAUCUGCCCGGUGCCGGCUGGUUAACAGAGAUAAUUGAAUAUACUACUAUUUGAUGUCGACGGAAACCCCGGUUAAAGGCGGCCUUAACGUGAGGGUCCUAAGGUAGCGAAAUGCCUUGGCCGUUAAAUGCGGUCUUGCAUGAAUGGUGUAACGAUACAACAGCUGUCUCUAUGAUUGACUCAGUGAAAUUGGAAUAGCAGUGCAGAUACUGCUUACCUCUAGUUAGACGAGAGUGCGACUAGAAAGUGCUUAAUAA
rnacentral:ncRNA from 1 species